GCCUAAAGCGUCCGUAGCCGGCUCUGUAAGUUUUCGGUUAAAUCCAUAUGCUCAACAUAUGGGCCGCCGGGAAUACUGCAUAGCUAGGGAGUGGGAGAGGUAGACGGUACUCCGUAGGAAGGGGUAAAAUCCUUUGAUCUAUGGAUGACCACCUGUGGCGAAGGCGGUCUACCAGAACACGUUCGACGGUGAGGGAUGAAAGCUGGGGGAGCAAACCGGAUUAGAUACCCGGGUAGUCCCAGCUGUAAACUAUGCAAACUCAGUGAUGCAUUGGCUUGUGGCCAGUGCAGUGCCGCAGAGAAGUCGUUAAGUUUGCCGCCUGGAAGUACGUACGCAAGUAUGAAACUUAAAGGAAUUGGCGGGGGAGCACCACAAGGGGUGAAGCCUGCGGUUCAAUUGGAGUCAACGCCAGAAAUCUUACCCGGAGAGACAGCAGGAUGAAGGUCAAGCUGAAGACUUUACCAGACAAGCUGAGAAGUGGUGCAUGGCCGUCGCCAGCUCGUGCCGUGAGGUGUCCUGUUAAGUCAGGUAACGAGCGAGAUCCUUGCCUCUAGUUGCCACCAUUACUCUCAGGAGUAGUGGGGCGAAUUAGCGGGACUGCCGUAGUUAAUACGGAGGAAGGAGAGGGCCACGGCAGGUCAGUAUGCCCCGAA
rnacentral:rRNA from 1 species